rnacentral:ncRNA from 2 species
CUUGGCAGAAUCAGCGGGGA